rnacentral:rRNA from 1 species
AUUGAACGCUGGCGGCAGGCCUAACACAUGCAAGUCGAACGAGUGGCGGACGGGUGAGUAAUGUCUGGGAAACUGCCCGAUGGAGGGGGAUAACUACUGGAAACGGUAGCUAAUACCGCAUACCAUCAGAUGUGCCCAUGUGGGAUUAGCUAGUAGGUGGGGUAACGGCUCACCUAGGCGACGAUCCCUAGCUGGUCUGAGAGGAUGACCAGCCACACUGGAACUGAGAAACGGUCCAGACGCCUACGGGAGGCAGCAGUGGGGAAUAUUGCACAAUGGGCGCAAGCCUGAUGCAGCCAUGCCGCGUGUAUGAAGAAGGCCUUCGGGUUGUAAAGUACUGUCAGCGGGGAGGCGUUACCCGCAGAAGAAGCACCGGCUAACUCCGUGCCAGCAGCCGCGGUAAUAC